rnacentral:rRNA from 1 species
UGGGGAAUCUUAGACAAUGGGGGGCAACCCUGAUCUAGCCAUGCCGCGUGAGUGAUGAAGGCCUUAGGGUUGUAAAGCUCUUUCAGCUGGGAAGAUAAUGACGGUACCAGCAGAAGAAGCCCCGGCUAACUCCGUGCCAGCAGCCGCGGUAAUACGGAGGGGGCUAGCGUUGUUCGGAAUUACUGGGCGUAAAGCGCACGUAGGCGGACCAGAAAGUUGGGGGUGAAAUCCCGGGGCUCAACCUCGGAACUGCCCUCAAAACUAUUGGUCUGGAGUUCGAGAGAGGUGAGUGGAAUUCCGAGUGUAGAGGUGAAAUUCGUAGAUAUUCGGAGGAACACCAGUGGCGAAGGCGGCUCACUGGCUCGAUACUGACGCUGAGGUGCGAAAGCGUGGGGAGCAAACAGAAUUAGAUACCCUGGUAGUCCACGCCGUAAACGAUGAAUGCCAGACGUCGGGCAGCAUGCUGUUCGGUGUCACACCUAACGGAUU